rnacentral:rRNA from 1 species
GACGAACGCUGGCUGCGUGCUUAACACAUGCAAGUCGAACGAAGUGGCGAACGGGUGAGUAAUACGUGAGUAACCUGCCCUCCUUUUUGGGAUAAGCCUUGGAAACGGGGUCUAAUACCGAAUAAAGGGGGAUGGGCUCGCGGGCUCUCAGCUUGUUGGUGGGGUGAUGGCCUACCAAGGGGUUGCCGGGUAGCCGGCCUGAGAGGGUGACCGGCGACAUGGGGAUUGAGGUACGGCCCAGAAUACGACGGGAGGCAGCAGUGGGGGAUAUUGCACAAUGGGCGAAAGCCUGAUGAAGCUACGCCGCGUGGGGGAUGAAGGAUUUCGGGUUGUAAACCGCUUUCGCUAUAGAACGGGUAGGUGGAGAAGAAGCGCCGGCUAACUACGUGCCAGCAGCCGCGGUAAUAC